rnacentral:rRNA from 1 species
CACGUAGGGCGCAAACGUGUUCGGAAUUACUGGGCGUAAAGCGCGUGUAGGCGGCCCUGCAAGUCGGGUGUGAAAUCCCACGGCUCAACCGUGGAAGUGCACUCGAAACUGCAGGGCUAGAGUCCUGGAGAGGAAGGUGGAAUGCUUGGUGUAGAGGUGAAAUUCGUAGAUAUCAAGCGGAACACCGGUGGCGAAGGCGGCCUACUGGACA